rnacentral:rRNA from 1 species
GACGAACGCUGGCGGCGUGCUUAACACAUGCCAGUCGAACGCGCCUGUCCUCUGGGUUUCUGGGGGGUGGGUGAGUGGCGAAUGGGUGAGUAACACGUGAGUAACCUGCCCCCUUCUUCGGGAUAACGGUCUGAAAGGGCUGCUAAUACCGGGUAUUCACUGGUCUCCGCAUGGGGUCUGGUGGAAAGGUUUUUUUCUGGUGGGGGAUGGGCUCGCGGCCUAUCAGCUUGUUGGUGGGGUGAUGGCCCACCAAGGCUUUGACGGGUAGCCGGCCUGAGAGGGUGACCGGUCACAUUGGGACUGAGAUACGGCCCAGACUCCUACGGGAGGCAGCAGUGGGGAAUAUUGCACAAUGGGCGCAAGCCUGAUGCAGCGACGCCGCGUGAGGGAUGGAGGCCUUCGGGUUGUGAACCUCUUUCGCCCGUGGUCAAGCCGCGACGUGGGUCGUGGUGAGGGUAGUGGGUAAAGAAGCGCCGGCUAACUACGUG